AGAGUUUGAUCCUGGCUCAGAUUGAACGCUGGCGGCAGGCUUAACACAUGCAAGUCGAGCGGAAACGAUGUAGCUUGCUACAGGCGUCGAGCGGCGGACGGGUGAGUAACGCGUAGGAAUCUGCCUAGUAGUGGGGGACAACAUGUGGAAACGCAUGCUAAUACCGCAUAAGCCCUACGGGGGAAAGGAGGGGAUCUUCGGACCUUUCGCUAUUAGAUGAGCCUGCGUGAGAUUAGCUUGUUGGUGAGGUAAAGGCUCACCAAGGCGACGAUCUCUAGCUGGUCUGAGAGGAUGACCAGCCACACUGGGACUGAGACACGGCCCAGACUCCUACGGGAGGCAGCAGUGGGGAAUAUUGGACAAUGGGCGCAAGCCUGAUCCAGCCAUGCCGCGUGUGUGAAGAAGGCCUUAGGGUUGUAAAGCACUUUCAGAGGGGAGGAAAGGUUAUUGAUUAAUACUCAAUAGCUGUGACGUUACCCUCAGAAGAAGCGCCGGCUAACUCUGUGCCAGCAGCCGCGGUAAUACAGAGGGUGCAAGCGUUAAUCGGAAUUACUGGGCGUAAAGCGCGCGUAGGUGGUUUGUUAAGUCGGAUGUGAAAGCCCAGGGCUCAACCUUGGAAUGGCACCCGAUACUGGCAGGCUAGAGUACGAUAGAGGAGUGUGGAAUUUCCUGUGUAGCGGUGAAAUGCGUAGAUAUAGGAAGGAACAUCAGUGGCGAAGCGACACUCUGGAUUGAUACUGACACUGAGUGCGAAAGCGUGGGGAGCAAACAGGAUUAGAUACCCUGGUAGUCCACGCCGUAAACGAUGUCUACUAGCCGUUGGGUUGUAAUGACUUAGUGGCGAAGCUAACGCAAUAAGUAGACCGCCUGGGGAGUACGGCCGCAAGGUUAAAACUCAAGGAUUGACGG
rnacentral:rRNA from 1 species